UGGGGAAUAUUGGACAAUGGGCGAAAGCCUGAUCCAGCCAUGCCGCGUGUGUGAAGAAGGUCUUCGGAUUGUAAAGCACUUUAAGUUGGGAGGAAGGGCAGUAAGCGAAUACCUUGCUGUUUUGACGUUACCGACAGAAUAAGCACCGGCUAACUCUGUGCCAGCAGCCGCGGUAAUACAGAGGGUGCAAGCGUUAAUCGGAAUUACUGGGCGUAAAGCGCGCGUAGGUGGUUCGUUAAGUUGAAUGUGAAAGCCCCGGGCUCAACCUGGGAACUGCAUCCAAAACUGGCGAGCUAGAGUAGGGCAGAGGGUUGUGGAAUUUCCUGUGUAGCGGUGAAAUGCGUAGAUAUAGGAAGGAACACCAGUGGCGAAGGCGACCACCUGGGCUCAUACUGACACUGAGGUGCGAAAGCGUGGGGAGCAAACAGG
rnacentral:rRNA from 1 species